UCUGUGUCUCUGCGUGUGUAUGUGUGUGUGCAUGCGCAUGCACACAGGCAGACGCUAGGGGUAGAGUGUGAUGGUUCAAAAAGAGAAGGAAAUGCUUAAGGUAGUGAAUCACGUUUUGCCCAGGAAAACACACUUGAUAAUUGAAGGAUGAUGAAGUGUCCACAGGCUUUACUAGCGGUCUUUUGGCUUCUACUGAGCCGGGUGAGCAGUGAAGACAAGGUGGUACAAAACCCUCUAUCUCUGGUUGUCCACGAGGGAGACACUGUAACUCUCAACUGCAGUUAUGAAGUGGUUAACUUUCGAAACCUACUAUGGUACAAGCAGGAAAAGAAAGCUCCCACAUUUCUAUUUAUGCUAACUUCAAGUGGAUUUGAAAAGAAGUCAGGAAGACUAAGUGGCAUGUUAGACAAGAAAGAACUUUUCAGCAUCCUGAACAUCACAGCCACCCAGACCAGAGACUCAGCCAUCUACCUCUGUGCUGUGGAAGCACAGUGCUCCCUAGUCACCUGCAGCCUGUACUCAAAUUCUACAGCUGAAGCUCUGCAAGUGUAA